UAAAGCUAAAUAUUGGCCAGAGACCGAUAGCGCACAAGUAGAGUGAUCGAAAGAUGAAAAGCACUUUGGAAAGAGAGUCAAACAGUACGUGAAAUUGUUGAAAGGGAAGCGCUUGCAACCAGACUUGCCCGCGGGUGAUCAACCGGUAUUCUUACCGGUGCACUCGCCCGUGGUCAGGCCAGCAUCGGUUUGGGCGGCUGGAUAAAGUCCACUGGAAUGUAGCUCCUCUCGGGGAGUGUUAUAGCCAGGAGGUGCCAUGCAGCCCGCCCGGACCGAGGACCGCGCUUCGGCUAGGAUGCUGGCGUAAUGGUUGUAAGCGACCCGUCUUGAAACACGGACCAAGGAGUCUAACAUCUAUGCGAGUGUUUGGGUGUCAAACCCAUGCGCGUAAUGAAAGUGAACGGAGGUGGGAACCCUCAAGGGUGCACCAUCGACCGAUCCUGAUGUCUUCGGAUGGAUUUGAGUAAGAGCAUAGCUGUUGGGACCCGAAAGAUGGUGAACUAUGCCUGAAUAGGGUGAAGCCAGAGGAAACUCUGGUGGAGGCUCGCAGCGGUUCUGACGUGCAAAUCGAUCGUCAAAUUUGGGUAUAGGGGCGAAAGACUAAUCGAACCAUCUGCUACUAGAUGGCAUACGGGCCGCGUGCCCCAGUAGUCCCCGUGCGGCGGGGGGCGACAUCGUCGGUCUCUUCGGGAACGCCUCCGGGCUACCCGCAGUGAGCCUCUGGCUCAUCCACAGACUAAGUGGCGGUGGCCGUGUCCUGGAGCACGGUUAGGAUAUAGUCGA
rnacentral:rRNA from 1 species